rnacentral:rRNA from 1 species
UACAGAGGGGGCAAGCGUUGUUCGGAACUACUGGGCGUAAAGGGCGCGUAGGCGGCCUGCUAAGUCGAACGUGAAAUCCCUGGGCUCAACCCAGGAACUGCGUCCGAUACUGGUUGGCUUGAAUCCGGGAGAGGGAUGUGGAAUUCCAGGUGUAGCGGUGAAAUGCGUAGAUAUCAGGAGGAACACCAGUGGCGAAGGCGGUUCUCUGGGCCUUACCUGACGCUGAGGAGCGAAAGCGUGGGGAGCAAACAGG